CGAGGGACGGGGUCUGAGCCCUCAAACCUCGGCCAGCUCGCGCACCCUAACACAUAUCCCUGCUGUGCCUUGGCCUGUAGGAGGAGCAGCGGGCUUCAAGGAGGCAUAAGGUCACUUCUUGGCUGAGGAGACUUCUUCUGUUCCUCGCCUUGCUGCAGUUUGCUGUCCUCAUCCUGGUGCUGCUGAAGAGGGACAUCCUUAACUGGGUCCUGCCACCAAAGCUGGCGGCCGCCUUUGGGAGCCGCCGUCCCGGGUCCCGGUUCUUUUGAAAUAAAACGAGA